rnacentral:rRNA from 1 species
CCUACGGGAGGCAGCAGUGGGGAAUAUUGCACAAUGGGCGCAAGCCUGAUGCAGCAACGCCGCGUGAGGGACGACGGCCUUCGGGUUGUAAACCUCUUUUAGUAGGGAAGAAGCGAAAGUGACGGUACCUGCAGAAAAAAGCACCGGCUAACUACGUGCCAGCAGCCGCGGUAAUACGUAGGGUGCAAGCGUUAUCCGGAAUUAUUGGGCGUAAAGAGCUCGUAGGCGGUUUGUCGCGUCUGCUGUGAAAACUGGAGGCUCAACCUCCAGCCUGCAGUGGGUACGGGCAAACUAGAGUGCGGUAGGGGAGAUUGGAAUUCCUGGUGUAGCGGUGGAAUGCGCAGAUAUCAGGAGGAACACCGAUGGCGAAGGCAGAUCUCUGGGCCGUAACUGACGCUGAGGAGCGAAAGCAUGGGGAGCGAACAGGAUUAGAUACCCUGGUAGUCCAUGCCGUAAACGUUGGGCGCUAGAUGUGGGGACCAUUCCACGGUUUCCGUGUCGCNGCUACGCAUAGCGCCCGCCGUCGGGAGACGGCCGCGACGGACGUAAACGUUAAAGUAGUAAGUUAGACGUCGUUGAGACGNGCGACGGACGACGACGAGGGAGGAGG